rnacentral:rRNA from 1 species
UAAACCCAACUACACUCCCGACUCUCAAAACCACUAAACUCCCGGGACCCUACUACGUUGGUUUUAGGUUGGGGCGACCACGGAGUACAAUAAAACCUCCACAAUGAACAGGACUAUUCCUUUAUCUAAGAGCUACACCUCUAAGAAUUGACACAUCAACAUAAUAUGAUCCAUUUUUUGAUCAAUGAACCAAGUUACCCUGGGGAUAACAGCGCAAUCCAUUUCAAGAGCCCCUAUCGACAAAUGGGUUU